AGCAGCCGCCGCGGUAAUACGUAGGGUGCAAGCGUUGUCCGGAAUUAUUGGGCGUAAAGAGCUCGUAGGCGGUUUGUCGCGUCCGCUGUGAAAACGCGAGGCUCAACCUCGCGCCUGCAGUGGUUACGGGCAGACUAGAGUGCGGUAGGGGAGAUUGGAAUUCCUGGUGUAGCGGUGGAAUGCGCAGAUAUCAGGAGGAACACCGAUGGCGAAGGCAGAUCUCUGGGCCGUAACUGACGCUGAGGAGCGAAAGCGUGGGGAGCGAACAGGAUUAGAUACCCGCGUAGUCCCUGUCUCUUAUAC
rnacentral:rRNA from 1 species